AGAUACCACCCUCGUGUUCCGAAGCCACUCACCUGUGGUGUUAGAAGUACUCACAGGCGCUAUAAGCGCAGUAUCGUUUCGCAAGGACAGCGAUGUUCUUUGACGAAACGGUGCCGCGACGCGCUAUGAGAGUUUUUCUACCACCACAGGGACAUUGCUUGCUGGGCAGUUUAACUGGGGCGGUUGCCUCCUAAAAAGUAACGGAGGCGCGCAAUGGUUCACUAGCGUCGGAUGGAAAUCGACGUAGUCGUGUAAUCGCACAAGUGAGCCUAACUGUGAGGGUGACAACCCGAUCAGAAGCGAAAGCUGGUGAUAGUGAUCCGGCAGCCGAGCAUUUUUAAUGCUCUAACCACGUGGGUGGGCUG
rnacentral:rRNA from 1 species